UUCCUGUCUUUCAAAGGUGCAGUUCUUGGACGUCGUUUAAGGUAUCGUUUGAGUGAUAUUCAUCAAGAAUUGUCUGUAUGGUGGGGUCGCCACUUGGACUUGGACAUCUGGUGAGACCUCCGCGACUUUGCCAUCUGGAAGAACAUCGGGCAUCUGCCGCUAAUAAAGAUUUGACCGCGUCGCUCCGAGCUAUUGUCUCACUGCUGCUAUUUUCAUCGUCUGCAACAGCAAUUAUAUCUUUGUAUGGCAGUCCUACUUUUAUCGACCUGGUGAUCAAUAGCCGAUUAUGCUGAUGGCGUUAUUGAAGAUAUUAUUUAUUUUCGUAUGUAUGCAUAGGUAUGGGCAGUGGCUUUUGUAGCACUGUGCUUAUUGGCUGGAACUGAAUCACUGCAUGACUGUGCUGGAGAUCCUCUUGAUGUCCGUGAAAAGCAAACACGUAUCUGAAGAGUUGGGCAGUGAGUUUUAAUUUAAUUUUGUUCUGUAAAAGUUGCCUAUUGAGAUUCUCAUGAAGUAGAUUAUCAAAUAGAAAAGGGUUAUUAAUAGUAAAAGAGAGCUCUUGCAAUGGACACCCUACGAGAUUGAGGAGAUGUUAUAAGAUAAAUGACAACACAGUUCAAUUGGUUAAGGUAAGGUUUAACUUAUGCUAAAAGAAUCUUCAAUUGCCACCCAAACCCAAAGAACAAACGCAAACCAUUGAGAACCAUUGAGGCGAAUGUCAUAACCCUUUCGCUGCCAUUCGAAUGGAAUCUCAGGCCAUUGAAUUGGCAUGAAGGGAGACCGGCCAAAGCCCGGCCCGAGUCAAAGUCAAAGUAAAAGCCAAAGCCAAUGACAAAGGCCAAAGCCCGGUCACAAAGUCAGAAGUCGAAGUCCCGCAUUAGCAAAAGCUGAUUAAUCACAUUUGAAGGGCAUACAAUUAUGCCAAAUGGAGAGAGAGCCUCUGCGCCGAGUCCUUUCUGGCGGGGGGUGGGGUCCUGGUCUGAAAACACACAUGCAAAUGUCACAUUAGCCUUAUACUUUAAUUAAUUUCUAAUCCAUGCUCAUUGAAGGCGACUGCAAUUAGAAGCUCGAUGCCCCGAUGUCGGAUGCCUGAUGCCUGAUGGCCGACAAGGAUUACAAGGAUAACCAUUUGCCCCUUACAUCUGUCAAGCAUCGAAACACACACAUGUGUAUCUAUUGUGUAUAUUUUGUAUUCCCUCCUGCUCUAUUGGCCGAAACCCUCCCUGGCCACAAUCUGCUAUGCCGCGAUCCCCUUCUCUUACCGCGCCAGCAGGUCGGGUGGCAAAAUUGUUAACAUCAUUUACAAGGGGCUUCAUCCUUCUGGUCUUCCGGUUCAUAUGAGCGAGCGUGCGCUCAAUGACGUUUGACCACUCAAGGCGUCCGACCGGCUGACAACGCAAACUCCCUGCCUUGGGACAUGAUGGCCCCCUUCCUGGCGUCCAACGAUGUGUUCUCCUCCUUUCGAGUCCGCUUGCCGUCGGUACCACCACUGAUGUGCUCCUGGAUGGACUGUGGCAGCCACUGGGUUUCCUGCUGUGGGCCAUAGCCCUGAUGCCGCUGCUGUUUCACCGAGGAUCCCUGCAGCAGGGAUCAAAUCGACAAAGGAAGUGUUGGUAUUCAUAUGCCGCCGCAUCAAACGCUGGGCUACAGCUUCGAGACGAAGGACUUAUCCACCCUACGCUUUGGGCCAAACCGAGUCAUAUACGAUUUCUCCCGCCAGACAGAGUCCUAUCAAAGCAUUACCGAGGCUUAUUAGAAAUAGACCGAGGUCUAUCCCAGCCAGGCCUAACCUAACAAGCUAUCGACAUCCUUCGACCUGACCAUCGACAACAAGGACUUUGACUAUGGGAACCAAGCGAAGAGCUACGCGGGAUGCUAGACUCUAGAUAGAUCUCGUUGUUGUUAAGUGUAAGAUAGAUAAAACUGUUUUCCACUUGUUUAUUUAUUGAUAAUAAGCUAACUUUUGAUG
rnacentral:sRNA from 1 species